rnacentral:rRNA from 1 species
UACGUAGGGGGCAAGCGUUAUCCGGAAUUAUUGGGCGUAAAGAGCUCGUAGGCGGUUUGUCGCGUCUGCUGUGAAAACCCGAGGCUCAACCUCGGGCCUGCAGUGGGUACGGGCAGACUAGAGUGCGGUAGGGGAGAUUGGAAUUCCUGGUGUAGCGGUGGAAUGCGCAGAUAUCAGGAGGAACACCGAUGGCGAAGGCAGAUCUCUGGGCCGUAACUGACGCUGAGGAGCGAAAGCGUGGGGAGCGAACAGG